rnacentral:rRNA from 1 species
GACGAACGCUGGCGGCGUGCCUAAUACAUGCCAGUUGAGCGCUGAAGGUUGGUACUUGUACCAACUGGAUGAGCAGCGAACGGGUGAGUAACGCGUGGGGAAUCUGCCUUUGAGCGGGGGACAACAUUUGGAAACGAAUGCUAAUACCGCAUAAAAACUUUAAACACAAGUUUUAAGUUUGAAAGAUGCAAUUGCAUCACUCAAAGAUGAUCCCGCGUUGUAUUAGCUAGUUGGUGAGGUAAAGGCUCACCAAGGCGAUGAUACAUAGCCGACCUGAGAGGGUGAUCGGCCACAGUGGGACUGAGACACGGCCCAAACUCCUACGGGAGGCAGCAGGAGGGAAUCUUCGGCAAUGGACGAAAGUCUGACCGAGCAACGCCGCGUGAGUGAAGAAGGGUUUCGGAUCGUAAAAAUCUGUUGGUAGAGAAGAACGUUGGUGAGAGUGGAAAGCUCAUCAAGUGACGGUAACUACCCAGAAAGGGACGGCUAACUACGUG